CCACGGCAAGGCGGCAGAUCUACGAGAGAGAAAGGGAGAAUGUUUAUCCAACACACCAUGAAGCUAGCGUGGCUUCCGUGUUGACUUCUCACUGUUUGCUUUAGCGGCCAUUUUGUUGUUCGCUUUUGUUUUUCCACGCUGAACGUCUUCAACUCGGCAUGCUCAUCCUUGUGUAUACAGGUGGUCAAGGAUAGACACUGGCAGCCAGUGCACUGUCAACGCUUCAUUGAACAAAUGAUAAACGAUGCUGUGAUGAAAAAUGGAAAAACAAAGACACUCACUUGUGUGGACGAGAGAAGGUGGUCUGUCCUCAUGACACUGUCAAAAGCAAGUCCUUGCAGCCAUAUUGAGAUGGAAGCGAUGCGGGAGCUUUUUUUUGACCGCUUGACUGACUGGGAGCAUUUCCUGCCGACACGCUGCUUAUACAGAGGAAAAGCGGACGUCGGUGAGGACAGCAUGCGGACGUAAAGGGGCAAUUGUGCGUGAAGGAGGACGCUAAAGCCACGCCCCCAGUAGGUAUAUAGCGCCGGGGUGUGCAUUGUGCAAAACAACAUCGGUUUGGCUAAGGACCCCCAAAAAUGGCACCGAGAAGAGACACACUUACGAAGCACAGUUUAAACUGCAAGCAAUCACUUACGCGGAGGAAGAUGGGAAUCGAACAGCCGCGAGACAAUUCAAGAUCAACAAAUACAUGGUUCGCAAGUGGAGGAAGCAGGAAAAUGAGCUUCGCCGAGUCAAGAAGACGAAGCUGAGUUUCCGUGGAAUAAAAAACAAAACAAAAAAAAAAGCGCGGAAACUAGGAGAGGCUUGGAUUAAUGAGAACUGUCGGGAGUACCGUCUCAAGUCACCAUUCGGCUGUGUGCAAUAACUCUGGCAUCUGCAGCAAGUGAGGAAGCUUGCCAUCAUUCCGGGAGGCUUCACGAACCGCUGGACAUCUGUGUAAACAGGGCGUUAAGUGAAAAAAGUGAAGUGAGCAAAGUGAAGUCCCACGCCGGGAGCCAUGGAUGACAGAUGGCGAACACAGCUUUACGAAGACUAGGAGGCAGCGCCGGGUGAGUUACGCCACAAUUUGUGAACGGAUUGUGGAUGCUCGGGCUAACGUGUCUGCUUGCACUGUUGUUCGAGCUUUCGUAAAGGCCGGCAUCAUUUCUGAGGAGCCGCACGGCAACGAGACUGACUCCGACGAGUAUGAGAGCGAACCUGCUCUGUUUGAUUGAGAACUUGCCCGGCUGUUCAUUUCGGAUAAAGAACAUGAGGACUUUGAUGGAUUUGUGGAUGAGGAUUGAUAAAAAAAAUAACAUUUCUUCAUCUUGGUAACAUCAGGUGACAGUGUCGUUCCGGUUUUUCCUGGUUUGAGGUCCCGAGUGCCUAUGACGACGACGACAGCGACGGCGGCCCCCCGCCCCCCUUCUCCCAGGGAAAAACUCAUCAGAUCUAUACGAUUCACGAAGGCCGACAUCCCAUCAAACCUGGAGACUGGGUCAUGAUCAAAGGAAAGUGUUGGUCCAGUCCGCGGUGGGAAGGUCCAUUUCAAGUGUUGUUGACGACCCCAACUGCUGUGAGGAUCGCUUAACGAGCUUCUUGGAUCCAUUUGUCACACUGCAAGAGACAGGUACCACUGACAAGUAGCUCACCCGGAGUCUGACUACAAAGGGAGUUAGGCAUAUAGAACCUAUCAACGUCAGUGAAGACGGGAGCUUGCUCCCUAGAACUCCCCCAACUUCUUAGGAGCUGUGAAGUCGCACGACCUGAGCAUCGUGCAGGAAGUGACUGAGAGGGUAUCCGUGCCCCUCCCGCAUCAACAGGGGGGUAAAGUGCGAUCCAAACCAUUGUGGGCCGUCCUUCUUUUGUCCUUCCUGAACGGGCAAGAGUGAGAAGUGGCACAGAAGCAGAAUAAUACACACCGUUGGUCGAGAACGGGACAAGAAUACUGUUAGUUGCAAAAAGAGAGGUGAAGUGCUAGGAACCUCUCCCUCUCAGAAGAUAGAAAGAUGAUUGCUUUCUGGCUUAAGAGGAAACCAGGAAUUGAAAAGACCAUGCGACAUCACAUUGACUGCACGCCAAGAGCAAUAUUAUGUAUAAUAUUGUUGUGUGUAGUGUUAAUGAUUCCACCACUGAUAUGGCUUUUGUAAAGAAAGGAAGAAAAUGGUAUUGAUAUUGUUGUUAGAAGAUUACGAUUUGUGUCAAAUGAACAUCAUGACAUGCUCCAUGAUGGAUGGAAUAUAUCACAUAUUUACUUAACGAACACAUGGUACAGGUAUACUUCAAUGAUUGCAAAGGUAAACAACAAGUCUAAGUGUUAUGUUUGUACCAAAAUGCCAAUCUCCUCAAGUCAUCAAAGAAUUGAGCUAGUGUCACUAAAUUAUUCGACGUCCACGUGUAGUUGAUUUUGCUAUAAAAGGAAGAAUGACAAAUGCUGGAGCUUAUACCUGGAAAAACGACACGUUACUUCAAAUUCGGCAAGGAUGUGGUGAAAUGUUUAUAUUUAAAAAGAUUAAUGGCGCAGGCCUGAUGGCUGACCAUGUGUAUAUCCCAGACAAAACCAAAUUUACUGAUUGUUAUGCUGCAAGUGGAAGGCUAUUUUUAGGAGCUUUCAAAAAAUGCCAUUGUGAGAACACCCUGAUACCUGUUUCUUGCAAAAAGAAGUCAAACGGGGAGAUUGGGUCUCAACGGGGAUGCUUAAGGGGAUACAUAAGCGGUCGAUACAUAGAUGAGAAAAAAGCUGAAUGUGCCUGGAGAAACUGAGUAUAUACCUGACAAUAGUCAUCCAUUUAAGGGAAACACUUUUGCAAUGGAUGGGUUCUAUUGGGUGUGCGGAGACAAACUUUAUCUACAACUCCCUGCCAAUUGGGGAGGCGUAUGUGCCCCAGUUAGAGUUCAUGAUCAUACUUAUGUCCUUUAUGCAUCAACACUUGGAAGAAACAGAUGUAAAAGAAAGUUGUCAGGUCCUACGGUUAAAACACACGAUCCAAUUUGGGGUUCAAAUGUACCGGAUGAAUUUAAAUUAUGGGGGACAAGGGAAAAGAUGUUGCUUAGUCUUUUUCCAUGGCUUGGUACAGGGAAGGUGAUGUUAAGAGUUGAAACCAUGGACUACAGACCAAGCCUUUUCAAUGCACGGGAAGCAAAAAGUGACCAAAUGAAUGAGAUGAGAAUAAUGGUCUUACAAAAUAGGAUGGCCCUUGAUUUGCUGACUGCUGCCCAAGGAGGAGUUUGUGCUCUAAUAAACGACACCUGCUGUACCUAUAUUCGUGACAAUGCUGCUGAUGGACAUGCAAUAGCAGAAGCUAUUCAGACAAUGAAAACUGUGAGAGAUGCUGAAACUCAGGAUGAUGUUAAUAAUAAAGGUUUUGAUUUGUACUUUUGGUUAAUAUUUGGUAGAUGGACAAGUGUAUUGAUGAACAUUGGACCUUCGAUCCCUCAGGCAGCACUGCAUCAAAAACAGACAUCAAUGUGUAAAGCAUAUCACCCCAUUCAACAUGGCCACCACGUAGGCAGGGGAGGAUCUAGCAUUAUUGUAUAUGUGUGACCUGGAAAUACAUCAGUCCCAUUCUCUGCCUGCAUUGUGCCACAGCGCCAGUAAACAUCAGCGCCCAAUUCUGGAACUAACAGACUUUGUCAACGGCAUUUUAGGUGACAAAUUGAAACUAUUUUUGGACAUAUUGUUCAGUUCCGAUGGUCUGUUUUAUUUGAUAUCCGUUAUCUCGGAGUCUGUUUUAUCAAGGUUCCACUGUAUAAUUGUUUGAACAGAGAAGACUGGUAGAGCCCAAGCUCCACCAGGACAGGCCGCAUUUUGAUAAUGGACUUUGUGGUCGUGUCAUCGGACCUGUGUUCGCAUGUCUUGAACAAUCGGGUGCAGAGAGGGGUGGAGCUUUUUCAUAGGUAAAGUACGGUGUCACCGUUUAUUUAUCCAUGAUUCUAGUUUUUAUUUAUUAAUAUCUAUACCAAAUGUCAUUGCAAUUGGAGUUCACUUUAAGAUUCCGAAGAGCACAGUGGCCUCCAUAAUCCUUAAAUAGAAGACGUUUGGGACGACCAGAACCCUUCCUCGAGCUGGCUGUCCGGACAAACUGAGCAAUCAGGGGAGAAGAGCCGUAGUGAGAGAGGUAAAGAAGAACCCAAAGAUCACUGUGGCUGAGCUCCAGAGAUGCAGUCAGAAGAUGGGAGAAAGUUCUAUAAAGUCAACCAUCACCGCAGCCCUCCACCAGUCGGGGCUUUAUGGCAGAGUGGCCCGACGGAAGCCUCUCCUCAGUGCAAGACAUGAAAGCCCGCAUGGAGUUUGCUAAAAAAACUCCUGAAGGACUCCAAGAUGGUGAGAACUAAGAUUCUCUGGUCUGAUGAGACCAAGAUAGAACUUUUUGGCCUUAAUUCUAAGCGGUAUGUGUGGAGAAAACCAGGCACUGCUCAUCACCUGUCCAAUAAAGUCCCAACAGUGAAACAUGGUGGUGGCAGCAUCUUGCUGUGGGUGUGUUUUUCAGAUGCAGGGACAGGAUGACUGGUUGCAAUCGAAGAAAAGAUGAAUGCGGCCAAGUACAGGGAUAUCCUGGACGAAAACCUUCUCCAGAGUGCUCAGGACCUCACACUGGGCCAAAGGUUCACUUUCCAACAAGACAAUGACCCUAAGCACACAGCUCUAAAAUAACGAAGGAGUGGCUUCAGAACAACUCCGUGACUGUUCUUGAAUUGAGCAUCUCCGGAUAGACCUGAAAAUGGCUGUCCACCAACGUUCACCAUCCAACCUGACAGAACUAGAGAGGAUCUGCAAGGAGGAAUGGCAGAGGAUCCCCAAAUCCAGGUGUGAAAAACUUGUCGCAUCAUUCCCAAAAAGACUCAUGGCUGUAUUAGCUCAAAAGGGUGCUUCUACUAAAUACUGAGCAAAGGGUCUAAAUACGGCUGCGUGAUAUUCCAGUUUUUUUUUUUUUUUUAAUUUGCAAAAUUUAAACAAUUCUGUUUUUUUCUGUCAAUAUGCGGUGCUGUGUGUACAUUAAUGAGGAAAAAAAAUUAACUUAAAUGAUUUUAGCAAAUGGCUGCAAUAUAACAAAGUGAAAAAUUUAAGGGGGUCUGAAUACUUUCCGUACCCACUGUAUAUGUGAAAUAUGGACCAUUAAGGGAUUUUUAUUUAUUUUAUUUUUCAUUUCAUUUAAGGGAGCCAAAAUAUAUCCUGCAUACCACAGUGUACCACUAUUUAUUUGUACCUUGCCUUGGCUCUGUAUAUUACUUUCUGUUACAUUGUACUCCAAGGGCAGUUCUUGACACACUGUACUGUGUGUCCCAUUGAUCAGUGGACAGACAACUGUCACUUCAAGGAACAAAGAAUAGCUAGACAAUGUGCCAUCUCACAAAAAAAAAAAAAAAGCAUGUCUUGUGGUAAUAAGACGCAAGUUACCACAGUCUUAUGUAAUUGGGUGUAAUACGUCAGCCUUCAAAAUAAAAUGGAUAC